GGCAGAGUUUGAUCCUGGCUCAGAUUGAACGCUGGCGGCAUGCCUUACACAUGCAAGUCGAACGGCAGCACGGGAGCAAUCCUGGUGGCGAGUGGCGAACGGGUGAGUAAUGUAUCGGAACGUACCUUUCAGUGGGGGAUAACGUAGCGAAAGUUACGCUAAUACCGCAUAUUCUGUGAGCAGGAAAGCAGGGGAUCGCAAGACCUUGCGCUGAUUGAGCGGCCGAUAUCAGAUUAGCUAGUUGGUGAGGUAAAGGCUCACCAAGGCGACGAUCUGUAGCGGGUCUGAGAGGAUGAUCCGCCACACUGGAACUGAGACACGGUCCAGACUCCUACGGGAGGCAGCAGUGGGGAAUUUUGGACAAUGGGCGCAAGCCUGAUCCAGCCAUGCCGCGUGAGUGAAGAAGGCCUUCGGGUUGUAAAGCUCUUUCAGCCGGGAAGAAAACGCAUGGGUUAAUACCCUGUGUGGAUGACGGUACCGGAAUAAGAAGCACCGGCUAACUACGUGCCAGCAGGGGCGGUAA
rnacentral:rRNA from 1 species